AUAAGAAUUGUGUUGAAGUUGCUGAUACAUGCAUCUUAGAAGAGCAGGAUGUGCCCCAGGAAUGUCUAUUGGGGCCUCAAGGCUGCAAACUCUGGAAAAACCCAUACCUGGUUAAUCGAUAAUCAGAAGGAACCUCUCACUUGACCAUUGAAACUGCUUACUUAACAAAUUUGCUUUAAGCUACAUGUCAUUCUAUUACUAAUGUAUAAAUAAGGGGAAAAAGUUUGAGGUAGGGAAACUCUUCAGGACUGGACUCUCCCUCUGGAUGCAUCUUGUGUUCCCCACUAGCAGACGGGCUGCUGCUGUACCACUCGAGAGCCACACUCAGCUUUGAUUUGAAAACCAGGAGGCUGAAGAGAAAAGGAGAAGCUUUGGACACUGGAGGUUCCAACUUAGGUCAUGCAGCAGUAAGGAGGACUGAAAAGGUGGUCUGUUCACUCUACCCCUCAUACCUUCGGUACAAAGCAUGAGGAGAGUACCAGCUCAGGCACAGACCAAUGGACCAUACUUUCAAGAGUUCUGUGGUCUCAGGCACACAGAGCACCUGUGUAUCCACAGUGGAAUACAGACCGGGACCAACACUCAAAGAAGAAUGUAGUGUAUUCUGGAUAACUUGUUUGAAAUAGGAGGGUUUCCAAUGCAUUCAGAAACAUGAACUGGCUUUCUUUGUACUAGAAGUUUCAAAAAUUUGAGCUUAAAAAAAGUUGGUUUGGAUGGUUUAUGAGCUGGAUUGUUUAUGAGAAUAAAAUUGAUUAGGUCAAUAUUUCA